UGCAAACUGUAUGAUUUUAAUUUUUUCCCCAAUCUUUGUGCCGGGAUGCAGAAUUAUUAAAGCCGCCCUGCAACAUGUAUUUUCUAUGUCAGGCUGUCACGCUGCUGCCGUACGUGACGUUACCGGUGUGGUCGCACGCACUGAGUCUGGGCCUAGUAAAUUCUAUCACUUAGCAACGGUUGCCAUGGAGGCCGUGACGUAGGCUGACAUCACUAAUCCUGAGUCAUGCUUUCUUUCCCCUUGUACACUGACAAGGUCACGUCCAUUUUGAGGAAAAAGGGUGACUUUAUCACCUUAAUGUAACUGCCGACUAGUGGGUUUAUCGUGCUUUAGAAACUGUUUAAUGUAUUUCCACCCGAUAAUGAUUCUUGCUUUUCUCUCGGUUUCAUCUGAACAAAAGAAAUGUGAUAUCUCUCCCCCACGGCCUCUCUGUAAUGGUACGUUCCAAACGGCCUUUCUUCCUAGUACGUGAUUGGAUAAUCCGUCCUCUCUGCCCCCACUCUUCCCUGCAGUGGAGAGUGAGGCAUUGUGGGAAACUCCCAGGCUGGUCCCUGCAGAGCAUCCUUUGAGCUGCAGAAAGACUUCGUAGAACAGAGUGAUCUGAAUGAAAUAACGCACACAAUCAGCUAUAUCAAUCUUACAUUUUCUACUGUCAAAGACUAAAGAUAAUUACUAUCUCUGCCACGGUAGAAGGUGUUCAAAAUGGAGGCCAAGCCGAGAUCUACCAGCAUUAAGAAGACUGACAAGGGAGGCCCAGCUACAGUUGGGGAUAAGAAAGAAGGGUCCGUAAAAGAGCAAUCUAAUCCCACAUCUAAGAAGACAAUGACAGGGGACACUGCACCGGUCAACCACGAGGUUCCCAAACCUACUGUACCUGAGUCACAGGGGCCGCCGCCCACAGCUGAGAACAAAACCAGUGAGGAGGAGCAGGAUAUUUCCAGUGGAGCCGCGGAGGGUUCAGGAUGCGAGGGCCUAAAACCACUAUUAGUGGCUGCAGGAGUGGCUGUGGCUGCCAUUGCUAUUAUUGUUGGUGUUGUGCUCUUGGCCCGGAAAAAAUGAACUGUCCAUUGUAUGUAGGGGAAGAUAUACAGAGCAAUCCAAGCAGGGGCUGAUAUGUACAGUUUCUUCAGAGAAUAUUGCAUGCUGCAGAUUUGUCCCGUGUCCAUCACUUGCUGUCACACAGAUAUCAAGAAGAUAGGGGAUACACUCAUUUAUUUUAGAGGUUUCAAAAUGGCUACCUGUCUUAAAUAACUAAGCAAACAAUGCUCUCUAUGGAUAUGAUUCUGUUCUGGAGUGCAUCGUUUCUUACACCAACACUUCCUUAUCUUAUUCAGGGUUUUAUAUUCUCCACAGUCUUGAAGAAAUACCCCCUCCUCCAUUUUCUCUCAGUAUGUUUUUUUGGGGUAUACUGUAUAUUAUGCCUAUAUUGCACAUUGCUAUUACACUUUGCUGUUCCGGCUUUAUUUAUGAUUUUGUUAUAUCUAUAAGCAUUGUUUUCCCGCAGGCCUUAACAAUAGGUAACUGUUGGUAUCCAGCUUUAAUUAAACUACAUCUCCACAAUCCUCAGUCAUCCAUUGAUAUUGUCUUUCUGUCUUUUGACAUCUUUCUGCCAUCUUGGACUUCCGCUCACAUGUCUUCUGUAAUGCUUCAGUGUUCAGCAAUUUUAAUUUGCAGUUUUAAAUAUGUACCGACUUUGGAAUCAAUGAUAAAGUUUAGACUAGAAUAUUCUUCCCAAUUACAGCAGACUAGGUUGCGGUUCUAGAAAUCAGAUUGAUUCUGAAGAAGCGGAAAGUUAUAUGAGGUAACAUGAGAAUGAACGGUGGAUGAGGAUUGUAUGAUUAUUCAUUUAAGUGUUUGAGGCCUCAAGAUGGAUUUGUGCUUUAGCUAUUUUUAGUAUCCCUUCCUAUUACAUGUUAGUUCGCCUUGUACUUGACUGCAUUAUUAAUUCAUGAGCAAAGGCUGCUGCCUGUUCCAGAACCCAGUGUUUUGUUUGCAGUUACACAGAUAUUCAUAUUAUCAAAAUGAAUCAAAAUACAAUGGGAGACAUAUAUAAAGAAUGGUGCAUGUAGCAGCCAAUCAGAUUACUUUUUUUUAGCAGUUAGAAUAUUAAAUACAGUUUCUGAUUGGUUGCUAUUUAAUAAGUGAGUCAUAUACAGGCUAAACCUGCAAGAGUCAAGCAACCAGAUUAUCCUUCAACUUGGCCACAACUGGAUGGCCAGGCUGCAGGAUUAACUAACCUUUAGGCUAGCAGGCCAUGUUGCCAGGUUAUGUCUGGCUACAUUGUUGCCUGAUGCUGCUGUCAUCUUCCGCUCACAUCUUUCUAUUCUGUGCUUGUUUUGGGGCCACGCGAUGCAAGCAUCCCAGUAUCUGCAUUAAUACUGCUGCACACAGGGCCAACUUUCCAACUUUUUUUUCCCGGGGCAACUUUCCAACGGCUAAUACACUAUAUUACAAGAUAUUACAAAGUCCAGCUAGCAAUCUGUUGCUGAAUUGCAAUUCCAAGGAUGAACUGAAUGUCACGGUCUGUGCUUGCUAUAAAUAGUGUUCUUAUUUCAUUGCAGAAUACAAAAAUUUGCAUCCUCAUUACUUUGUCACUUACAUGUUCAUAGCAUGUCUCAUUGAUAUAUGUUUUGCCCAGCACAAAAUACAUUAUAGAGGAAUCAUGAAACUAGUAAAACGUUGAACACUUAAAAGGGCAUCAGCCACCAGGGGUCUACUACGGCAUACCGGUGCUCAGGAUCCCGGCCCCCAGCAUACCGGCGCCGGGAUCCCGACCGUCGAUAUGCACGCUACGGGCACGGUAUUCUGCCUCCAGGGGUGUUGUGGACACCCCAAGAGGGAAAAUAGUUGUCGGUAUGCCAGGUGUCGGGAUUACGGCGCCAGUAUGCUGAGCGCCGGGAUCCCGACAGACGGCAUAUCAAGUGCCACCCAGCCACCAGCACACAAUCAGCUCACUUACAACGUACCACCUUGCAAAUCUGCCAAACAAAUCCUGUUUUGUAACUUUUUGCUAAAUGCAACUGAUUUUAUAGAAACACACGUGGACAUGUGAGCCAAAAUGUCAGCUUGUACAGUGGUGCCAAUAUCUGCAUUUGUCGAUGGGAGGUCUUGGGUGGAUCUGGCUAUGCCUAACUAGUUCAGAUUAGCUUCACAAUUACACCUAGGGGGAGAUGUACUAAGCAGUGAAAAGAGUGGGGAAGUGAGCCAGUGGAGUUGUCUAUUUGCAUACUAUAAAAGUAUACAGAGCAGCUGAUUGGUUGCCAGGGGCAACUUCUCCACUGGCUCACUUAUCCAAUUUUAUCACUGUUUAGUACAUCUUCCCCUACUAGUUGUGUAUGGGAUUGUGUCCCUGGAAGUAGAUUUUUGAAAUGUUGCAUUGUUAAAGCCACCAAUGAUCAGCAUCUUUGAAAGAUAGUUUAAAAACAGCGACAAGGAUCUGUUCUUUAUCAGGCUUGUUUAGCAUUGUUUUCUAUUACCAAUUUUAAACUAUCAAUCAAAGCCAACAGUCAUCGCCAGCUUUGACAACCCGACCUUUAAUAAAUAUGGGAUGUAUUUUACUCCUGCCAAUUGCAAAUUGGCAAAAACUACAUUUCUAGGUUCCCUUCAAUGAAAAGUUUUAAACACAAAAGGGACACAUAAAACAGUUCCAAUAUUCUCUCAUUUACAUUAAUUUCUGUAUAAAUUAGGCUGAGCAUUCAUUUAGGAGAAUAAGGUAAAUGUUGAAAUGAAUGAAGAGCGUGGUACAAAAAUGGUAGUUGGAACUUAUAGUGAUACUUGCUUUUCAUUCAACGCAUAUUUUCUAGAGCACAGACCACCAAAUUUAGGUGUACCAUCCUUACAAUGAUCUUUCCUAGUGCAAAAAAGUAGAUAUGUGCCUUAAAAUGCACAUGACAGAAUGCACAUGGCAGGUAAAUAGGUGGAAUUGCGCAAAUAAAGGAACAGAGCAAGUCUGCAUUUUUCGUCAUUUGUAAAUGAGCAUUAGUAAAGCCAUUUUGUGAGCUGUGCGAAUACUCAUAAGAGUGCAAGCCGUCAAUAACUAGGAACUAGUGACAUCACUUUUGAGUCAUAGUUAUAUCACUAGUUUUUAGCAAGUUGAUUGGUUGAAUUCUCAUGAGUGGUGUUUCAGGCUACUAUAGUAGGCCACAGGUACACUUUGAUUAAAUAUUUCAAAUAUCAAUGACAUAAUGAAUGUUCAUAGAUUGAGCUCCUGACCUCCUCAAAAAAAACGAUACUGCCCCUAUUUUCUUUUUUUUUAUAUACAAUUAAAGCGUAUAUAUGCAAUAAAGCAGUUAGAGUACAAAAAUACAGAUUAAGGCUCAUAAUUCCGAAUGCAGUCUUUGCUAGAAAACAAAUCCUCACACGUGUGGUGGUUUGAGGCAAGGACUGAUGGGCCUUUUUCUUGAUGUUAUUAGCUUAUCACGUCAAAAGCAGAAUGGAGACACAAAGCCUUCACUGAUGAUUGCAAACCAUCACUCAUUUUAGAUACUUCCUUGCUGAUUGCUGCCAUCAAGUGUUUGUUUCAUAAUACGGUUUGCAAGAGGGUUAAAUUAUCACAGAGGUGUAUUUUUGAAACCAUGUAGGAACAUAGUACCCUGAAAAUCCUAGAAGGUUCUUGGCAUUAAAGUGCACCCAUGACCAUCACACAGUGCUGGCAGCCAUUUUGUUCUAUGCUUGCCAACUGUUCUGAUUAUGAGGGAUUGUCCUAUCAUAUUGACAGUUAUAACUUUUUUCCAGACUGCUGGGAAUUUUGGGAUAUUUUCUCUCUUUCCUACAGUAGCUCUGCUGUUGCCCACUGCUAGCUCUAGUGCACAGUGCACACGAUAAUGAAGGGGUAAUUCCAAGGGAAGAGAUUGGGAAGUGGGCAGCCUAGUGCUCCCAAGGUGCCAUACACACCUUGGGGGACCUACCACACCCCCUAUGUGGCACUUUACAUUUUUAGAGAUAUAACUGAACUAAUAUCAACCAAAAUUUCAGUUCAGUAUUAAUAUAACUUUUACUUUACUUAUUAAAAAUUGCCUGCACUGUAUGUGGGUGACAUACUGUCUUGUGGUGUACAUUAUCAGGAUGGCUAUGUACUAUACAAAUAGAUGCUUGUAGCAUGGAGCAGCGCAGAUAACCAUCCAGCGCAAAUACAAAAUCUGUGAUAUUUUAGUCAAACCAUUUUCUCACAUUGUCAGUGAAGCACUCCAAAUCGUAAUUGUUGUAUUAGGUAACGCUCACUGUCAUUGCAUGUAAUGUCACAGUUAAUGUGUGGCUUAUGACUGUGUCACAAACUACAGGCGGCAGAAUUCCCCUAUAAUGCAAGAUGCAUAUUAAAAAUAUAUUUAGCAAUAAUUCAGUGUUUCCUAUGCAGCCUUGACACAUGUUGUGCAUAAACAUUGAGGCAUUACCAUUACAUUAAAUAUAAAAUGUUGUGACUGGGAAGAGCAGUGGUAUAAACCAAGUAAGCUGGGAUGAUUAUUAGAUGGCUAUGGUCUUCACAAAAAUGGCUUAAGGCAAAUAUAAAAUAUACAUUACACCUUAGAUACUGCAUGGCUGCUUUGGUAUUAGAACAAAUACAUGUUGCAUGGCUCAGUUCUAAAGGAUUAUGGGCCUGGUUUCUAUGCAGUCAUGAAGACAGGGUGCUAUUUACAGUAUCUUGAGCUUCUGCAACUGGCAAAAUCUUUAGUUGAUACAAAUGUGGAUAUUUUUGGUAUGUAUCAAGACUUAUUAUCCUGGGUAUCUGCAUUAUUAUCCUCCUCAUUGGUUGUAUUCCAUCUGGUAAUACAAAAUGUGCAUCUGGUCCCCACUGUUGGGUAAAGGUAACGCCACCUCACAAUUGUGUUAUCUAGUGAUGAAAAAGCUUGAUAAGCAGUCAUGCAGCCGUCACCAUAAAUUCUAUGGGGGUGGCGUUAAAUUGCACAAAGUAGGGUAUAAGGCUGGAGAAAUUUUUGCUUUAUCUGGUGUUAACCCUUUGGAAAAAAACAACAAUGUUAAUGCUUGAUAAAUAUAGCUCUGGGUAUUCUACAAAUCUCAGGUUAUACUGUAUAUGGCUGCUUCAGUAACUCUUAACUUGGAGCAUCGCACCACAGUGGCUGUUAUAUAUUCCCAUACUAAUGAUUGUAAUGCAGAGGUUAACCUCUUUGGUAAUAUAAGUCACUACCUUCCAGAUGCCAUGCCCCCCUCCUAAUGUGUACACAUGACUUCUUUCCAACACAUUCUUUUUGCAGACCCAACUGUGCUUUACUGUAUAUUUCAAAUGCAUGUCAUGUUUAUGGGCAUGACCUGAAUAGGAAAUACACAGACACAUGGGGUGAGCCAUUGGAAACAGUGGUUAUUAUGCAGGCUGAACAAAUCUACAUAAUUUUAUCUGUUUUGCCGAACGUCUAAGAAAGCAGUGUCUUAUGGGAAUUGAUAUUAAAACAGGAAGCUGUUGUCAUAUAAUCAAUCGCCGCCCAUCAAUUGCUAUAAAAGCAAAGACUACAGUAUAUCAAAGUGGAUUUCAAGAUCGCAUAUUAGUAAAAUUGCUGUACUUAUUGUUAAAAUUGUCACUUAUGAGGUUUGUGUUAAGUGGUACUUACAUUACUAUAAAAUUAUGAAUAGUGAUGGAAUAAUUAGAAAUGAGCCAUAUUAGAGAUUUAAGCUACUACUACCACCACAUAACAAAAAGAAACACAUUUAGUUGAAAUGGGAGUUCGGUGAAUAGGUGCAUUGCAGACCAUGAAUUCAAACCAAAUAAAGCAAAUCCACAUUGAGCCCAUACCAUACUUUAUAAUGAUAUGCUUUGUCAGUUACAUCAGGUUCUUUAGUACAGGUUGAGUAUCCCAUAUCCAAAUAUUCCGAAAUACGUAAUGUACGGAAUUUUUUGAGUGAGACUGAGAUAGUGAAACAUUUGUUUUCUGAUGGCUCAAAGUACACACACUUUGUUUAAUACACAAAGGUAUUAAAAAUAUUAUAUUAAAUGACCUUCAGGCUGUGUGUAUAAGGUGUAUAUGAAACAUUAAUGAAUUGUGUGAAUGUACACACACUUUGUUUAAUGCACAAAGUUAUAAAAAAAUAUUGGCUAAAAUUACCUUCAGGCUGUGUGUAUAAGGUGUAUAUGUAACAUAUAUGCAUUCUGUGCUUAGAUUUAGGUCCCAUCACCAUGAUAUCUCAUUAUGGGAUGCAAUUAUUCCAAAAUACGGAAAAAUCCGAUAUCCAAAAUACUGCUGGUCCUAAGCAUUUUGGAUAAGGGAUACUCAACCUGUAUUUGUACAAUUUGUAAAUUCUGAAAAUGUAAUUACUUAAUGUGGCCACCAUCCUCCAGGUCUUUUUAAGCGGAACGGUAAUGUCCUUAGCUGUCACUAAAUGAAGGUAAAGACAUGGAGGUCAUCUCUGCUUUGUGUUGGUGAUGAAUACACUUUAUACAAGUCUGCAGCUGGUACGAAUACAUGUUAUAGAGAUACAAAAGAGAUUGUAUUAGUUCUAUCUAAAUGAAUUGUUGCCAACAUCUGUUUAGUCUCCUCGUUGUUGGAUUUUGUCUCUAAUACAGUACAUGUCUUUUCCCAGCGGGAAACGGUGUGGCUGUGAUGCGUGAAACAGAUAUCCAAACAUCUGACUUUUAGCAGGAAUGUAUGAUCAUAUAGCAAAUGAAUAAAAUCUUGAACACUU